UACAGAGGGUGCAAGCGUUGUUCGGAAUUAUUGGGCGUAAAGCGUGCGUAGGCGGUUGUCUAAGUUUGGUGUGAAAUCUCCUGGCUUAACUGGGAGGGUGCGCCGAAAACUGGGUGACUGGAGUGUCGGAGAGGUAAGCGGAAUUCCUGGUGUAGCGGUGAAAUGCGUAGAGAUCAGGAGGAACACCUGUGGUGUAGACAGCUUACUGGACGAUAACUGACGCUGAGGCACGAAAGCGUGGGUAGCAAACAGG
rnacentral:rRNA from 1 species